ACAUUUCCCACCCGAAACCAGUCUUUGAAGGAUUGCAGUAUGACUCCAUUUCCUUGGUGCAUUCGUAAAAUAGUUCACCCAAUGAAGAUUAUUUACACUGCUACCCUGCUUUUUCUGAUGUUCUGCACCUGGCAGUUGUGAUUUCCAAGAUAUACAUGACUGUAGAGUGUAUUUUGACAUAUCAUAUAUACAUGGAGUUGACAACUUGAUUUUAAUCAAGACCUGGAGAAGAGAUAGUCUGCAAUCAAGCUGGAAAGGACCUUACCAAGUGCUCCUGAUCACUGGGAUGGCUAUCUGAACUGCUAAAAAGGGGAAAACUUAUUACCAGCUAUCUGCCCUUUGCCCAGGACACCAAGACAAACAUCUGGCAAUGUGGGAGCCAGCCUACCAUUUGAUCCUGGAGUGGAGUCACACCAGGGGGACUGUGUGGAGGAAGCAGCAGCAUCAGUGGAGCAACAGGUCUCUAUCUGCACAAGGUUCACACCCUGGUCCUGUUUUGCUGAGAAGACAGCCUUGGCUGGUGGCUCUCUUCCCUGGGAGGACAGGGGAUACCACUCAGUGGGACACCUGUGCAUUGGAGAUUCAAGGUAUUUUGGUUCACUCUCUUGCCUUCUGCUUCAAUAUAAUUCUCUCAUUUUCCAUCUGUUCUCUUCCUGUCACUUCUGGUUUUCCAGUUGUUGCUUUGUGGAGAUUGGGUUCUGGUAGGAAGGAGGCCUUGAGAGGAAGCAGGAGGAUCAGAAAGACAACAGAAUGACUUCUGUGGAAAUCAUGAUGACUCUUGUGCACUGGAGAGGGAGGGCUCUUCAGUUUUCUUGACUUGAGCACCAUCAGCGAGGAUCUCCAUUUUCCUUGUGCCAAGUUUGUCCCCAUUUCUUGCACACUUAUGUUCCUGGGGUAGACUCUUGCUUUGGUCCUGGGGAACAGGUGGUGGGAGGAUGGGGGUGAGGAGUUGGUAGGGUUACUCUCUGGCCCUCUGGCUGGUUAGAAUGGACUGAUGACAUAACUAACUUAUGGGUCAUAAUCUGCCUUUGCCCUGGAAAAGUCCUACAUGCACACUCAUGGGGCAGCAUUCUGGGUGGUGAGUUCUUUUCCUAGCAUUGUGAGCACUUGUCACUCCGUAUGUUGGUUACGGUCUUGUGAAGGGUUCCUGGACUAGAUCCAUGAAAAUACCCUGGGUGGCACCCAACAGGGCUAUGUGGUACAUGAGGGCAGUGUCUGGGGCCACUUGUCUGCUCACACUGUAAUGCAUAUGUGUCUUACUCUUCAUCAGGCCAGGUCACACUGUGUUUGAAAGUCCACUAGAAGCAGCCUAACUGAUCAAUUAUGAAAUGGAAUGAUCAGGGGUUUUUUAAUAUUUAUUUUUUAGUUGUAGGUGGACACAAUAUCUUUAUUUUAUUUUUAUGUGGUGCCGAGGAUUGAAACCAGUGCCUCAUGCAUGCUAGGCAAGCACUCUACCACUUGAACCACAACCCCAGCCCCAACGGGAUGAUCAGGUUUUAAUUCAUAACUGCAACUUUUUUUAAAAGUUAGGAGUCAGUAAUUUGUUUCACUAGAAUGGAGAUAAGAUGUAAACAAUUUUAUCUUUUAGGCUUUUUAUUUUAAAAAAUAUUUAUUUGUUAGUUAAUAGGUGAACACAAUAUCUUUAUUUUUAUGUGGUACUGAGGAUUGAACCCAGUGCCUCACAUAUGCUAGGCAAGUGCUCUACCUCUGAGCCACAACCCAGCCCAUAUCCUUUAGGAUUUUUAUUCAAUUAUGUGAAAACCACAAAUCAGGUACUGUAUUUUAGUUAAAUAUUACUUUAAUUGCAACAAAACAGCUUUUGUGGCUGUCAAAUGAAAUCUAUAAAUAGGAAGUGGAGGUUAAGUCAUCCUGACUGAGCAGUUUUUAACUGCAGGCUCUAAAACUAUGUCAAGAAGUGAAGAGAGGGGCUGGGGUUGUGGCUCAGGGGUAGAGCGCUCGCCUAGCACGUGCGAGGCCCUGGGUUCAAUCCUCAGCACCAUAUAAAAAUAAAUAAAUAAAACAAAGAUAUUGUGUCCAACUACAACUAAAAAAAAGAGGUGAAGAGAAUAUAAUAGACGCUGUUUAUGAUACAAUGUGUUUGAAAACAACUGUAUUUUGGUGAGUCAUGGAAUAUCCAGUUGUGGUUACAUGGUCACGGGAACAUUCCUAUUUCAGGUCUUUUCCUUCAGGGUUACUGGGAUAAGUCACAGGUUACUUUGAUCUUUAUUCAAAGAUCCCUGACUAUCUAUCCUGAGUUUCUUGAGAUUGGAGCCAGGUGUGUAUCCACACUGAGGAUUUAGCCAGGGAAGAACAUGACAAGUAUGCAACAGAGGGCCUGUUGAUCAGGUUUCCAUGCCUUUGAUUGAGGAUUCCUACACAGUGGAGCUCUUGCUAUUGUCCACUGACCCACCCCAAGGUGCUGAAAUCACAGCCAAGGAGGCAGCUGAUUAACACAGUACUUGGGGGUGUCAUCUGGCACUUUACAGGGGUGAAGCUAGCCUUAGGCUUUUAGAUUUUUUUUUUAAACAAUAGGGAAGAUUCAGUCAUCUCUGUGGUAUUUUAAAUUCCCAAGGACAUCAGAUUGAAAUAUCAGUUGUCAGAUUCUUUUAACAAUAUGUCUUCAAAGUUUUUGCUUUAAUAUCUAAAAAAGGAUUCCUUUUUUUCUCAUUUCAAAUCUUUAAGUAUUUUGGGUGAGAUAAAUCACUCAUUUGCCUAUGACCUUUUAGAAAAGUCAUUUUAUGGAAAUACUGUAUGUAUACUUAAUCUAAAUUUGAGUGGACUAUCCUUUAGUGUAUUUAUAAAUGAUCAACUCAGUUUAUGAAAUUAAACUUUUUAUUUGCAAUUUUUUAAAAUGAAAAAAAGAAAAUACCUGGGUGGAAUAAGUAUGCUCAUUCUCCUCCUCAUCAUAGUUUUCCUUUUAUGCCAUCCCUCUUCUUCCUUGUUUUUCACUUUCUACUGAUAGUCAGUCCAGGGCCAGUGUUCUGUGAAGGAAGGCAAGUGUCCAUCCACUGCUUGUUGGUUAUGGGGGCAUUCACCAUCCUAGCAUGAGGUCAUGGGGGGACAUUCUACCUUCUUGAAAUAAAGUAUGGCUGAAGAUCCCCAGAAGAGUCUCUUCUGUCCUGCAAACAAUCAAACAGAUAAACAAAAACAUGCACAUGUUACUUGUGAACAAAUAGAACCCUCCCUGGGCACAUUUCCAGCAAAAGACUUAAAGGCUUUUUUCUCCUUGUAAGUCUUUUCCCCACAGAAUCUGAAAAGUUGCAAAGUUAGUCCAGGAUGCAUCACUUCAAGGUGUGCUCUGUUGCCUUUCCUCCCUUCCAAUCCUAUGUACACAACAGGAUGGAAUUCUGUGUGUACCUGCACUGUAUCUCCACCAUCUUCACAUGAAUGCUCCCACUUAGACAGGCAGAGGCACCCACACAGAUACCCACAUAUACACUUGCAUGCACGUGGGUCCCCCGUAGACUCCAUUAUCCACACUGGUACACACAUCCAAAGAUAUACUGAAGCACAGAAGCUCAGGGCUCCGGGUCACCCCCUUCACAUGCACAUACACACACAUACACACACGUACACACACACACAGACACACAAUCCCACCUCCCGUUGUUACAGGGCUGGUGCCUUCUGGGAAACUGAGGCCAUCCAAAAGCCCUUCCUCAAACCCUGACUCUUGUGAUUAAGUCAGAAAAAUUUCAGACGUCACUCAGAGUAACAUGGUAAGAUUAUUAGAAGGGAUGGGAAAGGAGAAAAGGGGGCAUUCUCAAGGGAGAGAGUGGUUCUCUCAGAGAGGAGAGGGAAUGUGUGCCUCUCCUGUAUUCCUAUUUUAUUUGGUAUCUCAGAGAAGUUUCCAGAGUCCUGCCCAGGUCCACCUCUUGACUUUUUUUUCUUUUUUCUUUCUUUCUUUCUUUUUUUUUUUUUGGUGCUGGGGAUUGAACCCAGGGCCUUGUGCAUGCAAGACAAGCACUCUACCAACUGAGCUAUAUCCCCAGCCCCCACCUCUUGACUUUUGAUUGACAGCAGUAAAGUCCUCUAUUGCACAUGACAACUCUAGGUCAUUUUGUCCAUACUGAUCAGUUCUAAUUGGAACCUGUUCUUAAAAGUCUCUUAUCCAUAUUAUUUUAGGCCUGCAUUUUUCCUGAAGAUAGUAGGUAGUAAGGGCUAGGGAUAUAGCUCAGCUGGUAGAGUUCUGGCCUGCAAACACUAAUCCCCAGUACCACCACCACCAAAAAAAAAAAAAAAAAGACAGUAGGUAGUUUGCUGAGGAAUGUGACAUGUCUGUCUACUUAAGCCAGGCAGAACUGCAGUUAAAUUUCUUCUUGGCAAAGAAAGCAUGCGGGGAUCAGCACAGUGGGCCCAUUUUAUUGAAUUAUUCCCUUAUACUCAUGUCUGUCUGUUCCCUAUCACUAUCUGUUAUCUGAGAAAAAGACUACCAGUUUCUGCUCUAAGCCUUAACAACCAGGUAAUCCAUGGAGAAAUUCUGGCCUCUUCUUACGAAUGAAAGAAGGGAGCUAUCACCUAGGCCCAAGGAACAGGUAUGAAAGUGGGGUAUACUUUGUAGUCCUGGGUAAACAGCCCUCCCACACUAACCUCUCCCACUGGCAGUAAAGAUAGGAGAAUACUCAGGCCAUGAGCCUCUCAGGAGAUGUGUUUUUUGGCCUUUUGCAGGUCCCCUAGUGAUGCCAGGUCAGCCUGCCAGGAGUAAGACUGGAGUGAGUUGGCAAGUGCAUUCUGGGGAAGCUGCUCCUCCCAACCUGUGGCUGGAGUUUGCAGUGGCCUUUCCUGGCUGCUUUGGCUGGGCUAGCCCAAGGUGGUGUUGCUACCACUGGUUAUUGGUGAUGAGUUCUGCUUCCUCACAUGUUGAAGUUUGAACAUUAGAGAAGCAGGCUGAGGCAAGCAUAUAAAGCAGGGUUUAUUUAAAAAGGAGUAACACAGACUUCUCCCUGGAGGGAGAAGGGAGGGAAUAGCUGGUAUCCUAGUAUCCCAAGAAGUGAGGGCAUCCUGCCCCCUUUAUACAUCUAGACUUUCUUUGUUCUUCUGCCUUCUUCCCCAUUCUCUCUCUCCUUCCUGUGAUACCUGACAAGGCCCAGGUGAUGCCAGUGGGGUAGCCAAAAGGUGAGAAGCAGAUGGGCAUGGCUAAGGGCCAAAUGGAGUGAUUCAGGCAGGAAGCAGCCCAGGAGACAUUAACUAAUAACUUUUAUAACUUCCUGUAGGGAGGGACAAUUUAUGGGACAGAUUACCUUAGCAACAGGUUGGAGGAGGGGCAGGUUAUCUCUUAAGGGUGGAGGGAGGGCUCUGAAGGCAUUAACAUUUCAAUUCCUCUGGGUUGGUCUCCUACUUCCCAGACCCAAGUUGGCCUCAGAUUUCUUAUCUAUACUGACUGCCUGUCUUUAAUUCUGGCUUUAGUGUGGCCUCUAUCUGAAUCCCCAAGCCUUGGUCAAGAAACCCAGGGCUGCAGGAAAACCAUGAGCCAGGUAGCACUCUGAUCAGGACCUGGUCUUCUGUGGAGCCAGCCUGGGAUUUGAAUCCUGGAAUGGAGAUACAGUGAGCCCCAGGAUGUGUCCCUUCCCUAGUUAAGUCAACUGGAGAGGAUGUUGUAUGAGGAAUUACAGGUGCCCCUGCUGGGGGAAGAAGGAAGAAAGGCUGCCAGGAAAGUAGAUUCCUACAGGUUGUCCAGCCCUUGGUUCUUGAGCAGUUGGUCCUGUGAGUUCGUGGAUCAGAGUGGAAGUAAGGUGGCUAUUUUCUUGUUUUCUGUUUCUAUCCUUCAGUUUUUAGAUUUUGUUUUUCAAGACCCAAAGGGUGGGGGAGCUUGCUACAGCACCAGGUAGCAUUAUAGUUGAGCUUUAUGGAGCUAUACUGCCAUCAAGUGGAAUAUGUUUCUGGUGAGCUGAGCCACAAGGCAGCAGAGCCGGGUGGAAAUCAGCAACACGCAGGAGACAGGAACUGUAAGCGAAAAUGGAUGAUUAUGCCCUGGCUGGCACUUGCCCUGUGCUCAUUCAGAGGAGUAAGGGCACCUGGCUCCUCCGCCAGGGAACACAAAGGAAGAAAAGGUUGGCAGUGGAAGGCCCACCAUAGUUGCUACAGGCAGUGGCCAGGGACAGCUUAGCGUAAACCAUGUGGUCCCCCAAACCUCCAGGUUGCUGUGUACCCAGCAAGGAAAGGGGUCUCCCGGCCUCAGCAUCGUGGCGGCCUCCAGCAGGGGCACCUGUAAUUCCUCACACAGACCCCAGAUCCCAAGGCCACCGAGCUCAGUCAGCAGCCAGCAGCUUCUCCUGGGCCCGCCCCAAAAAGGCGCCCUGGGCUGGUUGGUGCAGUGCUGCUGCCUGCAGGGUUCCAGGGCCCCUGGACCUGCUGCUUUCCCUGGGUAGGGUCCUGAGGGCAGGCAGGCUUCCCCCUGUGCUUUUGACUCCUGAUGGGGAGACCCUUGCUUGACCAGCAUCUGUUCUUCUCAGCCUGUCCUUGCUCUCACACCCCCAUCCCAUACCACCCUGGUGCCUGGCGGCUGGCUCAAGGUAAAUGUCCCUUGUGCCUGGGCUUUUCAGAAACCAUUUCUCCUGGUUGGACCUGCGGUUCCACAAAUGAUAGUCACUACUUACCCCACCCCAGCCUGCACUGUCUCCCUCCCUUUGUGUUCUGAAAAGCACCAGACAUAGGAUACCCAUAUCACCUUCAGAUAGGCUGUGGACCUGCCUACUUGGCCACUCUGGGGGCAGACCAGGCUCUCCUUUUUUACCUUUGAAUUCACCGAUUGGUAUGGGUUCUUGUGGACACAGACUGCCUGACCCAGUGUGCAUCACCUAACUCCCUCCAAUGGCCUUCCUUCAUACACCCAACCACCAUUCUCAGGGCAGAGGAGGACAUAAACAUUCCCCUUGGAGCUGCAUGUCCCUCUGGGACAGGAACUUGGGUCUCUUGUUUGUGUGCAACUCGCUUUUCCUUGGGUAGGAAACUUCUUUGUGGCCACAGGGGCACAGGUUGGGGGGCCAGAACUGUCAGAUCCAAGAAGGACAGCUGAAGUGGUUAUAACAUGCCAGAGAACCUGGCAGGACAAGGAGGUCAUGGCACCUCCCUCAGAAUCCAAGGCACUCCUUUGUGUCAGGGGGAAGGUGAUCUCUCUGAGAUGGGUUUCAUGGGGGCCUCUCCUUGGAAGGCCUCCACUGUGCUCAGCAUACUUCAUUGGCUCACUGGUUGGGAUUUAGGUGUUCCUUGACAGAGGCAUGGGUAGACAGGCUGGCAGACUUCUAUUCCACACCAGAAGUAGGUGCCUGUUCCAUGCUCAGUAGUUCUAGAUACCCUGAAUAUUUUAUCUUCAGGUGGAGUUUAGAUUCUGGCAGAGGGGUGGUGGGAAGCUGAAUGCAGGAAGUCCUGUGCCUUCAGAGAUGCUGAGGGGGUGGGGUAGAAGGCCUGUGAAUUAUGCCUAUACACAGACCUGUGCACUUUGAACCAGAGCUCUGGUGCAUUCUGAUUAUUCACCUUGGAUAUUAAGUGAGAAGUGGAGGUGGUAGGUAGCAGGGCGGGAAUGGGCAAGGGGGGCAGGUAUGUUUGUUCAAGUAUAUUUCUUGUGAUUCUCUGUAUGUGGGUGUGCAUGUAGAGAAGUUAGACCACCAUUUGAAAUUUUCCAUGCAGAUAGGCCACCUCAAGUAGCAGGACCUAUAUGAAGGGCUGGUUUGAAAGAUAUGUCCUGGUUACCUUAUUGUGAAGGUUCCUUAGCCUAACUUCAAUGCUUGUUGCCUGGAGAGUAGUAGGCCUGGUGCAUCAUUCUCCCAUGUGCCAAAUGUCUGCUCUCUUUCCAGAGGUGUAGACCACAGUGGGAAUGCAGCCAUCUCUUGCCAAAGUAAGCUUGACAUUCCAGAUCAACACAGUGCAAUGGGGAUACUCCCAAGUGUGGAUUCAACCACUUGUCCAUCCUUCCACUCUAAUAUGAUGCUGGAAAUAGAGCAACAUUUAAAUAUGGGUAGAAGAAACCAAAAGCAAAGAAUGCAUAUGUGAACAGGAACCACCUCUAUCCACUCUCCUGUUACCUUUCAACUACUUUGAAGUUGUGUAGCAAUCAUAAGGUCAUCUAUUGCACCUGCUUAAAGCUGGGGAGAAAGAAAUGCAGGGAGGUGGACUUUCAGGUGGUAGAAUGCUCCCUCUUUGUCACAGGUCAUCUUUUUUUUUUUUUUUUCCUUCACAUUGAGCUGCACUCACUUCUCACUCUUGGAGAUAGCUGAGCUUGUCUAAGUCUUCAGUUACAUGCAUCCGUAUUUAAGCUGAGGUGAGCAGGUCUGUGCACCCACACACCCACACUCAUACACAGGCGAUCCCCAAGCCAGGCUCAGUGGGCUGGACCACUCGAUUUGACUGUUCCCUCUGUUGCCCCCCUCACUUGACACUGUCUGCCUGUUUUCCCAGUUUAGCCUGUGGGACAAGGAGGAGGCAGUGCCAUCAUCGCACAAGAGACCUCUGGCUGGACAAGGCUUAUACCAUGGUCUCCAGGGGGUAAAAAUGCAAUCCUGUCUGGUGGUACUCUUUUCCUGUGAGGAUAGUGGAUGCCACUCCAUGAACCACAAGUCCACUUGCUAUUCAAAUUAUUCUGGUUCACUCUCCUACCUUCUGCUUCACUACAAUUCUCUGUUCAUUUUCCACUUGUUCCUCCCAUGGCUUUCCAUUACUGAGAGUCACUACCUGUUCUUCAUUCUUACUUUGUGGAAAUCAGGUUCUGGCAGGGUGUGUUGGGAGGAAGCAGGAGGACAAGGACAAAGAAUAGAAUGAUUUCAUUGCAAAUCAUAAUGACUCUUGUUGAUUGAGGGAGAGAGGGGCCAUCCCCGCUUCUACCUAGCCUUGGGUACUAUCCAUGAAGAUCUCAUCUCCCUUGUAUCUGGUUCAUCCCCAUUUCAUGCCCACUUGUGUUCCCAGUACACUACGGUCUUGGGGAAGAGGAUGGGGGAAGAUGCAGGUCGGGUGGGGAGAGUCAUUUUCUGGACCUCUGGCCAGUUGGAAUGUGCUGAUGACAUAGCCAAGUCAUGGUUCAUAUUUAGCCUUUGCCACUGCAAGUUCCUACAGGCCCAUUCAUGGUGCAUUCCAUUGACAAGAGCAUUCUGGGGGGGGGGGUGUUCUUUCCUUAGGAAGUAGGCCACUGUGUCACCCUGCCACUCCAUGUGUUGGUUACCACCCUAUGAAGAUUUCAGGCUCAAGAUCCUUCAAAACACCCUAGGAGGAAUGUGGGUGCUCAUUUUCCCCAUCCUCUUCCCCUUCUCAUGACAUCCACCUUCUUUGCAUUGCCUUUCACUUUCUACUGCUAACCAGGCGAGGUAUAGUGUUCUCUGGAAAAAGGCAAGUGUCCUUCCUUCCUCUGCUUGUUGGUUAGGGGUAGAUGCACUAUCCUAGCAUGGGUCCUUGGGAGACACUACAUCCUUUAUUGAAAUUGAUCAGGGUUGAGGGUCACCAGUAGUGUUCCUUUAGUCCUGCAAAAAAAAAAAAAAAAAAUCCAUCUGCAUGUUACUUGUGAACAAAUAGGUCAUCGGAUGUAUGAUCAGCAAAAGACCUCAAGACUUUUCUCUACUUGCAAGUCUUCUCCCCAUGGAAGCUGGAAAGUUUCAAAGUUGGGCUAGGAGACACCACUUCAAGGUGUCCCCUGUGACCUUAUCUUCCCCUCCAAUUCCACAACAGCAUGGUAUUCAAUGUGUGCCUAUAAACUGUCUCUGCCAUUUCAACAUGAACAGUCCCAUUCACACAGGCAAGUACCCAGAGAUAUGGACACCUACCAAUAUACCAGGACACACUUUUACUCCCCUUCCCGCAGACUUGACUAUCACUACUUAUGUAUAUACCCAAAGACACAGAAGCCUAAGGCUUAGGUCAUCCUUUGCCUGUGUCCACUUUUCCCUUUCCCUCUCUUACCACCCUACAACAGAGUAGACACACACUCCACAUCACUCACUAAUCUGGUAUCAGAAAAGGUCAGAACUUCUCUUCUUCAAGCCUUGUUAGGCUUCUCUUCUCCAAGCCUUAUCAACCAAGUAAAUCAUGGGGGCAACUCUGGCUUCCUCUUUCAAAUUAAAGGAAGGAAGCUAUCACUUAGGCCCAAAGAGCAGGUGUGAAAGUGGAGCAUACUCUGUAUUCCUGGGUAAACUGUUCCCCUCCCAACCUCUUCUACUGACAUUAAGGACCCAGGGAGUUCCUCUGUUGAGAGGCCAGGAGCUUCUGAUGUGUUCUUUGGCCUUCUGCAGGUCCCCUGUGAAGCCAGACCAGCUUACCAGGAGUCAGACUGGAUUGUGUUGCUAGGUGCCUCUUCCCCAGGAAGCUUCUGCCUCCCAACCUGUGGUUGGAAGUUGCCUGGCUUUUCCUGGCUGCUUUGCUUGGGCCAUUUGAAGGUGUUUGUGGCCUCUCCCUAGGCCUUGGUCAAGAAGCCUGGGGUUUCAGGAAAAAAAAAAAACACAUGAAUCUGCCUCUGGUUUGUGACCAGCACCUGGUGUGAGGAGCCAGCCUAGGAUACAGAUACUGGAGAGGAGUCACAGUGAUCCUCAGGACAAGUCCUUUCCCUGUUCCUUCUUGCCAGAGCAGGAAGUGGGGAAGGCAAAAGAAUGCCUGAUCACUGGAACAGGAUUUCUGAGGCCUCUGCACCUCCUGGUUCUUCUUCAGUUGGUCCUGUGAGUUUGCAGGUCCAGUUGGGGCAUGGUAGCCUCUUUUUUGCUUUCCAUUCCACUUUCCCACAUUUUAGACUGCUGUGUUUUUUUUAAGACGCAAAGGGCGGGGGGAGAGUGGAGUGGAGAGGCAAGUGGCAGCAACUUUGAGAAGUGUAGUGCUCUAUCGCCAUCAAGUGGAAUGAGUUUCUGAUGAGUGGAGCCGAUUGGGCACCAGGGCCCAGUCCAGUCCAGCUCCGUGCAGGAAUCAGGGCCGCGAUCCACCACCGCCACUUGCCAUCAACCCAUGGCCACCGCGAACCAAGGUGGACGGUUACGCCCUGGCUGGCACUUGCCCCAGCUCAUUCCAAGCACAAGGGACACCCUGACUCCUCCACCAGGGAGCAGGGAGGAAGAAAAGGCUGACAGUGGGCGGCCCUCCAUAGCUGCCACAGACUGCUAUCUUCCCGGCAAGGAAAGGGGCCUCCUGGCCUCAGCGUGUGCUGACCUCAGGCAGGAGCACCUGCAACUCUUGACCUAAGACCCCAGACCGCAAGGCCAGAACUCAGCUCAGUCAGAGGCCAGCGGCUUCUCCUGGCCCAUCCUAAAAUGGCGCCACAGGCAGCUCCGCCCCCUGUGCUGGUUGGUGCAGCUCUACUGCCCGGAGGGUCCCAGGGCCCCUGGACGGGCUGCUUUCCCUGGGUAGGGUCCUGAGGGCAGGCAGGCUUCCCCCUGUGUUUUGGACCCCUGGCCGGGGGAGACCCUUCCUUGGCCAGAGUACGCUUUUCCCAGCCCGUCCUUGCUCUUACAUCCCCAUACCACACCACCCUGGUGCCAGGCUGCUGGCACAAAGCAAGUGUCCCUUCUGCCUGGGUUUUUCAGAAACUAUUUCCGCUAGAUGUCACUGUGGUUCCACAAAUAACAGUCACUUUUCCCCACCCCCACCUAGGCUUCCAUUUCCUCCUUUUGUUAUCUGAAAACACCAGAGAGGAUGCCCAUGGUACCUUAAGUCAGGCUGUAGACCUUCCUUUCUUGGUCCCUUUCCCGGCAUAUCUGGCUCUCUGCUUCUUCCUUUUCUCUGGAUUCACCUCUUGGUUUUUGUCCCUGUGGACACAGACCUACUUUUUCUCCGUGCAUUGCCCAAUCUGCCUUCUAUUGACUUGGGAAGGGGGUGGGGAUGCACAUUCCACAUUUCCCUAGACAUGUGCUUGUCUCACCAGAGCAGGAACCAGGGCAUCCUGUUGUUAUGCAUUUCACUUCUCCCUUGGUAGCCAAGUCCCUUGUGACCAAGGAGCCAAGGAUCCACUGCAAAGGAUCAGGUUAAAGAUACCUGCUAAAGAACCUGAUAGGACUGGGAGAUAGAAAGGGUACCUCAUCUCCUCAGGCCACCUUCCUCACAGGACUCCUCUGUACUCUCUGUGCCCCAGGUUUUUGUGCCCAACCUGAGAUGUUUCACGAGUGCCUUUCUAUGGAACGCUACUGGUGUUUCAUACAAUGCAUUGACCCACUGGUUGGGAUCUAGAUGUCCCUGGUGCAGGCAUAGGUAAGCCAGGCUGGCAGGCUUCAGUACUACACCAAGAGCAGUGCUUGUAUCAAGUUAAGGGGUUCUAGGUCCAGUUGGUGUUUAAUCCCUUAGGGUGGGGAUGAGGUUGUGGGAGAGGGAAGGUUAGAGGAUGGAUGUUGGAAGUGGCUUGCCCUAAGUGAAAGUGUGGGAGUGAGAAGGCCCAUGAAUAAUCCCUAUACAUAGAUAUUUCCCCUCUGAAUCUGAGCUCUUGGGCCUCCUGAUAAGUCAGACAUGGAGGUAGAAGGUAGCAGGGUGGGAAUGGGCAGGAGGGCGAUCUUUUAGUGCAAGUGUGCAUGUGUGCCUUUGUGUGUGUGUUUGUGUGUUAGACCAUCAGUUGAAAGGUUUCCAUGGAGACAGGCCAGUUUAAGUAGCAGGGCCUUUAUGCAGGGCUGGUUUGGAUGCCAAACAGUGAUCACUUUGCUGCGAGAGUUCUUUAAGGCUCCCUUUGACACUGCAUGGAGAGAAGUGUGCCUGGUACACAUAUUCCAGUAUGCCAGAUGUCUCCUGUAUUUCUGGAGGUGUAGGCCAUAGUGGGAAUGCACCAAUCUCUAGGGCAAUGAAUUGACCUCCCAGAAUAUCAUAGUGCCCUGGAAUAUCAUCCUGUGGACCUGUUUAAGUAUGGAUUUAAGCUUUUGUCUAUGCUUCUACUCUAAGAUGUUGCUGAAAGUAGAACAACAUUUAAAUAUGUGGAGAAGAAACCAAAAGCCAGCAGCAAAUGCACCUGAGAACAGGAGCCACCUCCAUCUACUGUCCUGUCACCCCUCACCUACUGUGGAUCUUGUCCUUCUCUGUAGUAAUCAUAAGGUCUCCUACUGCACUUGCUUAGAGAAAAGCUGAGGAGAAAGAAAUGCAGGGAGGUGGACAUAGGUGGUGAGAUGCCCCCUCUCAGUGUCACAGGUCAUCUUUUUUUCUCAUUGAGUUGCAUGCACUCACUUUUCACCCUUGAGGACAGCUGAGCUUACCUAUGUCCUCAGUUACAUGCAUCCCCCAUUUAAUCUGAGGGGAGCAGGUCUGUGCAUGCAUGCACCCACAUUCACACUCAGGCGACCCACAGUGAGGCUUGGUGGGCUGGAGCCCUCGACUGACUUGUCAGUUCCCUGUGUUUCCCCAUCCCCCUCCUCCCUUGUUCCUUUCUGCCUUCCCACUUCAGCCAGGGGGACUGUGUGGAGGAAGCAGCAGCAUCAGUGGAGCAACAGGUCUCUAUCUGCACAAGGUUCACACCCUGGUCCUGUUUUGCUGAGAAGACAGCCUUGGUUGGUGGCUCUCUUCCCUGUGAGGAUAGGGGAUGCCACUCAGUGGGACACCUAUGCAUUUGUUACUUAAGGAAGGGGACCUUGAAAGGAAGCAGGAGGAUCAGACAGAGAAUGAAAUGACUUCAUUGGAAAUCAUAAUGACCCUUGUGGACUGGGGGAGUGAAGAGCUAUCCCCUCUUCUUUCUUGCCUUGAGUACCAUGCACACAGAUCAAGUUGCCCUAGCCUCAUCUGAUUUUA